UGUCUCGCUCACGUUGCUUGUUGUGUCAUCCUCAAUGGCGCCUGUGCCAAACCACCUCCCGCCUGCCUGGGUAUGUGGUGCCAGCUUCCCUGGCCCCAUGCUGCCAGAGUUGGCAUCUUCUCAGCUUCUGUGGCAUCUGUCCAUCUUUCCUUCUGUGAUCUCUUCCAUCCUCCUCCCUGUCGCCUCCGGACCUGUAAUACCAGUGCCAGCUAUCUGCACAAUUGGCAGCGACGGAGCCAACCUAUCUCCCGCAGCUGCUGAGCUUUUCGAUGCCGUCAACAGAAGCACAGAACGGGCAGCAAUAGGGGCUUUAGACUCUGAGCCAAAAAGGGAGAUGCCUCUUUGACAGGCAGUAUACUCAGGUGUAUAGAGG